rnacentral:rRNA from 1 species
CCACGGGUGGCUGCAGUGAGGAAUAUUGCACAAUGGGGGGAACCCUGAUGCAGCAACGCCGCGUGGAGGAUGACGCAUUUCGGUGUGUAAACUCCUUUUAUAUGUCAAGAAAAUGACGGUAGCAUAUGAAUAAGCACCGGCUAACUCCGUGCCAGCAGCCGCGGUAAUACGGAGGGUGCAAGCGUUACGCGGAAUCACUGGGCGUAAAGGACGCGUAGGCGGGUCGGAAAGUCAGGUGUGAAAUCCUACAGCUUAACUGUAGAACUGCACUUGAAACUUCUAAUCUAGAGUAUGGGAGGGGGAGAUGGAAUUAGUGGUGUAGGGGUAAAAUCCGUAGAUAUCACUAGGAAUACCUAAAGCGAAGGCGAUCUCCUGGAACAUUACUGACGCUAAGGCGUGAAAGCGUGGGGAGCAAACAGGAUUAGAUACCCCCGUAGUC